rnacentral:rRNA from 1 species
AAGGGCACCACAAGAACGCGUGGAGCAUGUGGCUUAAUUUGACUCAACGCGGGAAAUCUUACCGGGUCCGGACACACUGAGGAUUGACAGGCAAUAUUAUUUAAUAUUUGAAGACUUCUUCGGAAGUUGGAAGAUAUUUUAUAUGUAAAUAUGCUAGUCCUUUCAUGAUUAUGUGAUAGGUGGUGCAUGGCCGUUCUUAGUUCGUGGAGUGAUCUGUCUGCUUAAUUGCGUUUCACUAAGGGUUUAUCAAUACGUAUGUUUGCUCGCAUUUAUGACCCCCCUUGCUUUCUUUUACUUUUUCUUCGGAAAUUGUUUCUGAUGGCUUGGCUGCGUGAGUCAUUUAUGUUUCAAGCGCAUACAAUUAAGCCCUGAAAGCAACGAACGUGACCGCAACCUCUUGUUGCCUCUAAUUUACUAUGGUUUUCUUUUGAGAUCAUUUUAUCUUCGGAUAUUUUGUUUCUUUUUGAAUUCCUAAAAAAGAGGCUUUAAAACUAGAGGGACCGCUGUAACUUUUUUAAACCAGAGGAAGGUUGCGGCAAUAACAGGUCUGUGAUGCCCUUAGAUGUUCCGGGCUGCACACGUGCUACAAUGAUUAUUGCAGUGAGCAUCUCAUAUAUAACACCGCUGAACAAAGUUUCGUGAUGUAUUUUCAUUACUAUAAAGCUUUGGUUAACUCGAAUUAUCCUCGGAUUUUUUGGGAAGGCCUUUGUCUUUUUGUUUUGGGAUUGUCACGUUUUUGUACUCGGUUAAGCCUGCUUCGAAAGUAAGUAGGUAAUCAAUUAGAAGUAAUGAUUUCCCAAGUUUUAGCACAAUUAUAUGCGGCGUCUUUACCCAGGAUGGGCUUGUCUUAUCCUUGUGCGUAUUGAUGUUUUUCCGCAUGUGCUUUUGUCAAUUCAAGGUGGGGACAGACCAUUGUUAAUUGUUGGUCUCGGUCUUAACUAGGAAUGCCUUGUACGGGUCUUUGGUUCAACAAACCACCCGGAAUACGUCCCUGCCCUUUGUACACACCGCCCGUCGCUCUUACCGAUGGACUUCUCUGUGAGUUUGAGGGACUGGAUACCUAAAGUGUUUUCUUCGGAUUGCAUUUUUACCAUCUAUGGAAACUUAAACGAACAGUGUGGUCUAAAGGAAAGAGAAGUCGUAACAAGGCAUCGGUAGGUGAACCUGCAGAAGGAUCA